GGUUCUAUAGUGUAGCGGUUAUCACUCCGGAUUCUGAUUUCUUGACGAUUAGAACAUUCCGGCAACCCCGGUUCGAUUCCGGGUAGGACCU